GAUGAACGCUGGCGGCGUGCCUAAUACAUGCAAGUCGAGCGAACAGACGAGGAGCUUGCUCCUCUCACGUUAGCGGCGGACGGGUGAGUCACACGUGGAUAACCUACCUAUAAGACUGGGAUCACUUCGGGAAACCGGAGCUAACCCCGGAUAAUAUCUUGAACCGCAUGGUUCAAUAGUGAAAGACGGUUUUGCUGUCACUUCUAGCUGGAUCCGCGCUGCAUUAGCUGGUUGGUAAGGUAACGGCGUACCAAGGCGACGAUGCCUGGCCGACCUGAGAGGGUGAUCGGCCACCCUGGAACGGAGACACGGUCAAGACUACUACGGGAGGCAGCAGUAGGGAAUCUUCCGCAAUGGGCGAAAGCCUGACGGAGCAACGCCGCGUGAGUGAUGAAGGUCUUCGGAUCGGAAAACUCUGUUAUUAGGGAAGAACAAAUGUGUAAGUAACUAUGCACGUCUUGACGGUACCUAAUCAGAAAGCAACGGCUAACUACGUG
rnacentral:rRNA from 1 species